AGUGCCCGGAGUGCUGCAGCAUCUUGCCUGUUUUGCUGUUUUCCCCUCUUCUACAUUUAGUACAUUUAGUAAAUAAUAAAGGAAUUACGUUAGAAUUCUGUAUUGAGUCUAACUUGUCCUAAUACCAAAAUAACAUGAAUCUGCUAGGACGAACGAGUAAAGUUUUAAUAUGUGAUUACACUCGUGUAUCCCUCUCGAUGAAGUUGUUUAUCAAACUUAGUGCAUUUACGCGUGUAUAUGUGUGACAUUGUUUAUUUAUUUCUAUCUAGAGUUCAGAAUUGCAUGACUCCUCUGACGAAGAGUAUGUCCCAGACGCCCCAACAUCUUCCUCCAGAGGUCGGGCAUCUAAACGAAGCCGUCAGGCGGGCUAUGGAGGCCGUGGUCGGGGAGCGACGCGAGCACCCCGAGCCAAAAAAACGUCCUGCAGUCUCUUGGCCUGACAAGCCGUGGGAUUGGUAACUUUUCUGGAAGUUGCUGAUCCCUGAUGCUCUCUCCUCCACAAGCAAAACAAAUGUGCGUGCGGUUGUGUAGUGCGUAGCUCGCGCACCUCUGCAUGGGCUUGCUUGCUGUGCGCGUAACCGUUGAUUGACAGCAUGACAAAGCGGAAGCUCGAACUUGAUUGGUCGGCAGCGACCGGCGCUUUUUGGAAUAACAUGGGGGUCUAUGAGAGGAAGACGGAGCUCAUGAAUAAAUUUUCAUAUCGCGUCUAAGAUGCCUAAGAUCUCAAGACUGUUGGUCAUGGUCUUUCUGGCCCUGCUCCAGAACAUCUUCAUCAACUACGUCUUCUUUUGAAGAGGCCCUCAGAUGCUGCAAUCUCUGAUCUUAAAGCUCGUGUCCGGAGAUAACAGCCAUACGUAAUGUGGCACAAUGGAUGCGCUGGCAUUGCUGGAAGAUCACGUUAAGAAUGGAGAGAGAUUUUAGGGAUCACGGGGAUUUCCUGGCCCAUGACGAUGACUGGCUAAUAAGCCGAUUCAGAUUCCUUAGAGCAGUACUCUUGGAUCUAUGUGCUGAACUGGGCUGUCUUAGACAGACCCACCUGCCCAAACCACGCCAUCCCAGUACAGACACAGGAGCUGACGACUCAGGGGUUUCUGGCGACACCGGCUCCUUCCAGCGGGAAUUGGCCGACAGGUAUGUGUUUUAUAUGAAGAAUAUAUGAGGUUACAUUUGUUGUCUAAAUCCUAUCUGGGUCUGAUAUACAGUUAAAGGAUGUCCUUUAGGUCUGGAAUAUCACAACCAUCCCUCAGCGCAAUAAUGCCAGCUGUUUUGGAUGACAUUAUAAACAUGACCAGUCAAUACAUCAGGUUUCCUUACACUGUGGGUGAACAGGCCAACAUUAAACGGCAAUUUGCAGCGAUGUCCGGUUUCCCAAAUGUAAUCGGCGUAACUGACUGCACUCAUGUUGCUGUAAGGGCUCCGAGUGAAAAUGAAUUUGUCUGUGUGAACCGAAAAAAAUGUACAUUCAAUCAGUGUACAAAUUAUUUGUACAUCGGACAUGAUCAUAACAAAUUUAGUGGCAGGGUGGCCUGGGUCAACACAUGAUUCAUUCAUUCAUCCUGACACACAGCAGUGUAGGGAAAAGACUCCAGGCCGGCGCUGCGUAAAAUGCCGUGGAUCAGCAGCUUAUUUAUAUACAGAUACAUUCAUGAGUUACUUUGCAUUGACCAUUCAUGGUAAAAUGUGGGUGUGUUGUGGGUGGAAUGUGAGGUGGAUCCACCUGUGCAAUCUUCCAGCUGGUGUGUGAUUUAUCAAGAAAUUGCGUGCAGCUGUGCUUAUGCCCAGUUUUAUAAAUCAGGGGCGAAGGGCGUACGCCCAUUUCAGAUUUUCGGCGUACGCAAACUUUUAGUAUGGAUCCUACGCAAUGUUUUAUAAAUGAGGCCGCUGCUCUUCUAGUUGUCUUCCUUCUAGUCGCUGUAAAAAGUCACUCCAUCCUCGCCGACUUCAACAGCUCUUCAUGACAAUUGUUCUGCCUCCGAGCUCCCCUCGAGACUCGGAUUUUCGAAAAACUCGCCAGGCGGGGGAAGGUGUGGUGGGUAGGGAGUAGAGGGGGGAGGCUGCCUCCCACCUCCCCUCCUACUCUCUGCCCUGACUCUACCCAGACUCUGCCUUGGCUCCAGCUGUAUUGUCACUUGGAAACUACGAUGUCAAAGGGACGACGAAAUCAAAACUUUUUUCUCUGCUCUGUACCUCAGUGAGUUAAGGGUUUGCCUAUGGAGCUGCAGGUUGCUGGUUCAAAACCAGUCCCUUCUUAAAUUUUUUGAAAAACUUCGACAAAAAAAAAAAGAAAAAUGCCAGAGGUAGGUCUUGAACCUGCUACCUUCCCUGGACAUAACCUGUCAGAGCAUCAAGGAGGAGUUCCACAGGAUUGCAGGUGAAUGAUGUAGAGAUCUGUUAAAUUCAUUUUAAAUCAUAUUCUGUUAAUGACAUUGUCCUGCAACCUCAGACUGGGAUUAGUUAUUUUAAUUUCUUUUAGGAUUUCCCAGUGUGAUUGGCUGCAUAGAUGCACACACAUCCCCAUCACAGCUCCCUCACAUCUCGAAUAGGAAGUCCAUUCACAGCAUAAAUGUGCAGAUCAUAUGUGAUGCUGCAUACAUCAUUUCUAAUGUGGAGGCCAAGUGGUCUGGGUCUGUUCAUGACUCCAGGAUUUAUGGAGAGUCUAACCUGAGCAACAGACUGCAGCGUGGAGAGUUUGAUGACCUUCUGCUGGGUGACAGGGGUUACCAUGCCAACCCAGGCUGAUGACCUCAUACCCUGACCCUGAACCAGGCCCCCAACAGAACUUCAACCGGGCUCACUGCAGGACCAAAGCCCGGGUGGAGAUGACCAUAGGCCUGCUGAAAGCCCGUUUCCAGCGUCUACGUCUCCGCAGGGUGACCCCUGAGAGGGCAUGUGUUCUUCUUCAUAAUAUUACCACUAUUAGAGGAGAGAAACACCCUGCCCUACAAACUGAAGACCCAGAUGAUGAGCCCAUCCACCUGCAGCUAUCCAGGACAGCAGAGCAGUCAGAGACACCGUAUGCAAUAAUCACUUUAGGGUUUAAGUCACCA